GAUGAACGCUGGCGGCGUGCCUAAUACAUGCAAGUCGAGCGAACAGACGAGGAGCUUGCUCCUCUGACGUUAGCGGCGGACGGGUGAGUAACACGUGGAUAACCUACCUAUAAGACUGGGAUAACUUCGGGAAACCGGAGCUAAUACCGGAUAAUAUAUUGAACCGCAUGGUUCAAUAGUGAAAGACGGUUUUGCUGUCACUUAUAGCUGGAUCCGCGCCGCCUUAGCUAGUUGGUAAGGUAACGGCUUACCAAGGCAACGAUGCAUAGCCGACCUGAGGGGGUGAUCGGCCACACUGGAACUGAGACACGGUCCAGACUCCUACGGGAGGCAGCAGUAGGGAAUCUUCCGCAAUGGGCGAAAGCCUGACGGAGCAACGCCGCGUGAGUGAUGAAGGUCUUCGGAUCGUAAAACUCUGUUAUUAGGGAAGAACAAAUGUGUAAGUAACUAUGCACGUCUUGACGGUACCUAAUCAGAAAGCCACGGCUAACUACGUG
rnacentral:rRNA from 1 species